GACGAACGCUGGCGGCGUGCUUAACACAUGCGAGUCGAACGGAAAGGCCUGCUUUCCCUUGUGGAUUGCGGGUACUCGAGUGGCGAACGGGUGAGUAACACGUGAGUGAUCUGCCCCCAACUUGGGUAUAAGCCUGGGAAACUGGGUCUAAUUCCCGAUAGGACUGCAGGGUGGUGCCUUUGGUGGAAAACGAUUUUCUAGUGGUUGGGGAUGAGCUCGCGGCCUAUCAGCUUGUUGGUGGGGUAAUGGCCUACCAAGGCGGCGACGGGUAGCCGGCCUGAGAGGGUGGACGGCCCCAUUGGGACUGAGAUACGGCCCAGACUCCUACGGGAGGCAGCAGUGGGGAAUAUUGCACAAUGGGCGGAAGCCUGAUGCAGCGACGCCGCGUGGGGGAUGACGGCCUUCGGGUUGUAAACUCCUUUCGACCGCGAGGAAGCCACCUGGUUGGAAGGGUGGUGACGGUAGUGGUAGAAGAAGCACCGGCUAACUACGUG
rnacentral:rRNA from 1 species